AUGAAGCUGGAAUCGCUAGUAAUCGCAGAUCAGAAUGCUGCGGUGAAUACGUUCCCGGGUCUUGUACACACCGCCCGUCACACCAUGGGAGUUGGAAAUGCCCGAAGCCAGUGACCCAACCGUAAGGAGGGAGCUGUCGAAGGUGGAGCCGAUGACUGGGGUGAAGUCGUAACAAGGUAUC
rnacentral:rRNA from 1 species